rnacentral:lncRNA from 1 species
GUACUCAGAGUCUAAGCCCAUGAGGCUUUACAGUGGCUUAUUAUAAAUAGAUCUAAUAUGUAAAACCAAAAGCUUUUAAGAAUAGAGUCUACUCUCACAGAGCCAAGCUGUACUAUAUUUGAGCUUUUGAAUAUGAAACUUAAAUCCCAUUAGCACUGAGUCUACAUACCAUGAGUAGUGAAUAACUGAGGUCUGAGUUAGAGGUUAAACACAUCACUAGGAGAUGAACAAACACCAGGGUGGGUGGUAAACCAGUAGAGAGGGUGGGAAGGAAAGAUGCAGUUGUGACAGUUUUUGUGGAGUAACUUGGUACAGCCCACUCUCCAGGGAUGCCCUCCCCUCGUUGCCUACACCUGGAGGUCUACCCAUGGGGAGUGAAAAUGACAGCAGCUAGCUUAAGGAGUUGUCUGUCAGUCUAGAAAGCUCUCUACAGGACUCUCCAUAGAAAUGUAUUGUCUCAGAAAUACCAAGUGCUUGCUUCAUACAUACCUAGUGUUUAGCAGAAGUGCUAAUGAUACAAGGAAGGGAAAGCCCAUAAGAUCUCCACAAGUCCUAAGCAUCUUAGAUCUUGGUGUCUUCCAAGUUAAGUAUUUGCUCAAUUGUUGUCCCAUAUAUAGCACACAUGACAGCUUUUGCAUUCAAGUAAUUGAUCAACAAAGCUGUUCGUGCUGUCAGCAUUCAAUGAUUUUAUUGGAACAUCAGUUUUAGCAUCAGACCUGGUCGCUAGCCUUGUUUUUUCUACCUCUUUUUUUUUUUUUUUUUUUUAAAGAUUUGUUUAUUAUAUCUAAGUACACUGUAGCUGUCUUCAGAUGCACCAGAAGAGGGCGUCAGAUCUCAUCAUGGGUGGUUGUGAGCCAUCAUGUGGUUGCUGGGAUUUGAACUCAGGACCUUCGGAAGAGCAGUCGGUGCUCUUAACCACUGAGCCAUCUCUCCAGCCCGUUUUUCUACUUCUUAAUUGACUUUUAUAAACGAGUUAAACUUUGUUAGUCCAGUUUUCUUAGCUGUUCUGUGGGGGCUAGAAUAUAACCCUGGUACUGUUUGGGAAAAUCAGAGGAGACUCUGUACAUGGCUGGUGUCCCUAGUGUGCCGAGUAAGAAGGUUCCUUUAUAGCAUUGUAAAUUAAAAGAAAGCUUGCCUACCAGGCUAAGACUUGUACAUACUCCAGCCUUCUCAGCAAGUCAUUCUGGGUCUUUGUGAUGUUUGGUGUAGUUUGUAUCGCCAGGGAGUGUACGGAAGAACUUGGCUUCAGAGUGGCUUCUUUCUCACUUCUACCAAGCAUGAUACAGAUUGUCAUUUUGUUAAAAACAAAACCAAAAAAUGUAUUCCAUUCAGUGGGGACAUCAGGGGCUGGUUGUUUUUCUGAAUGCCAUUCUGUGAGGACUGUCCUUUAUCUGAGUAUUUGAUGAGUGCUUGGGCUAGCUAAGUUCACAGAUGCAAAAGUUGUUACAAAACGUGCCUUCCUUUUUUUUUUUUUGUUUUGUUUCUAAUGGAAGUGAAGGGGACUUAGGGAUAUUAUACAGUGUCAUGUGGCAAUUUAACACUCCAAAGUAGAAUCAGUUUCCAGAUGACGGGAUCUGAAACUCUGUAAAGAUUGUUUUGGAUGGCACAGUGCCCUGAAGACCAUCUGUUCCGUUCUCAGCCCCAUAUGGGAUGGCAACCAUCUCAGUGAAUGAGGCUGAUCAAUAAGGCGAUGGAUGACUCGGAAUCGGGAUUCUUCAAUUCGGAGAUCCAUUGAGCUGGAUUUGGAAGUUCUCUAUAAACUUUCAAAAUGAGGUUUGUUUUUGUUUUUGUUUUUGUUUUUUAAAUAAUACUAGUUUGUCACAUGGGAAAAGGAAAGUUCUAGAGCCCAGUGGCUUUGCCAGAUGGUUUUUGUGUGUUCUUGAGCCCGUUUCUCUUACAUUUAUUAUCCUGCCAUAACAAUUGGAGAUGUUUCCUAUCUUAUUUUUUCUAAGUAUGCAUUCAUAUUAGAAAUGAAAGUUUGAAUAUCGCCACAUGAGAGCACCACAGAGGUGUUUGCCAGAUGCUCGGAACAGUGCUGCGUUGACACACACGCCCUCGCUCAUCCAGCUGCCCCUGCCUUCGUAAACAGCUCAGUUAUUAGGGAUGGAGUCUGUAUGUGGUAGGCACUCUAUUCUUCAGGAAACCCAAAUUAGGUUGCCAGAAUCUAGCUAAUACAAAUGUUGCAAUUUUGUUGUUUGAUUUUUUUUUUUUUUUUUUUUUGAGACAGGUUCUUGCUCUGUAACCCGGCCAUAGUACUUAUAUAGCUCAGACUAUAUAUAAAUAGUACUUGUUGUGUAGCCCAGGCUAUCCUCCUGCAAUGAUCCUCCUGAGGCCGCCUCUGAGGGCAGGGAUUAUAGAUUGAGCCACCAUUCGAGGUUUAAAAAAUCUCAAAUUUCAAGGUAAAAUUUGAAAUUCUUUGUAGCCCAAGACAUUUUUUUUUUGUUUGUUUUUAAGGUGAAAAAUUUGCCAUAGAAGAUGUUUGUGAAGAUAAUGCUACUUAAUAUGGAGAGAGCUCUUGACUCUUCUGAGCUGCCAUAAAACUGUGAAGUCAACUUAGGCUUUAAAGUAUUUGCUGAACUCUAAAUUUGAGGACAGAAUGAUUUUUUUUUUUUUUUAGUUUUUAGAAAUACCACAAUCUGGCAUUACUUCUGAGUAGUAAGUAGUCAGUGACUUCCAAAAUGUGUGAAGGAUACUAGAGGAGUUUCAUUUCAUUAAAAAAUUAUUUUAAUUGUGUGUAUGUAUAUGUAUAUACACACAUGUAUUUGGGUGCAAGUACCUGAAGAGGCCAGAAGAGACUUCAAGCUCCCUGGAGCUGGAGUUCCAGGGGGUUACAGACCUCUGGCAUAGGGCGCUGGGAGCUGGAUUCGGAUCCUCUCUAAGAAAGUUGCACGGCGCCAUCCCUCCAGCCCCUCCCACCCCCGCUUCCUUCCUUCCUUCCUUCCUUUUUAAUUUUAUUUAUGUUUGCAGUUGUUUUGCCUGCACAGUGUUUGUGCCUAGUUCUGUGGGAUGCUGGAAGACAGUAUUGGAUCUUCCGAACUAGAGUUAGGCAGUUGUGAAUCACCAUGCGGUGUUGGGAACUAAGCCCCAGUCCUCGGGAAGAGCAGACAGUGCUCCUAACUGCUGAGCCAUCGUCCUAGCACCUUGCUUUAUUUCUCUGUGGAGAUUUGGGUCGCUGGCUUGAUAAAUACAAAGAAAGUGGCACUGUCAAAUGCACUGUGAACAUAAGCAGUCUGUCUGUCUUUGGUUUUGCUUUUGUUUUUCAGACAGGAUUUUCAUAUAGCCAAGGCUUUCUUCUGUUCGCCCUGUUUUUGUUUUCUCCUGAUGGGACGGGAUAGGAGUUUAGUAGCUGAGGAGUGCUGCUGCGGUCUGUCUGCCCCGUGCCUAGAACGGGAAUUGCCUGCUCUACUUGCCCCAUUACUGGAGUUGUCUCAGUGAAGGUGAUGACCUGGGACAGCAUCAUGUAUUCUGUUUCUUGUACUUCCUGUCUUGAUUUAGCGUCUGACAUCCUUGCCGCAUCAGGGCCUUUUCAGUUGUAUUCUUCAUCUUCUUGUUGUUGUUGCUGGGUUUUGCCAUAAAUGGAUAAAGAUACUAAAGGAAUUGAUGUAAUCAAUGAAACAUGAAUAUUACCUGUUGUCUUUUCUUAUUCUGUGUAUUCAUACAGUGUACAACUUGGGGUCCUAGGAUU